rnacentral:rRNA from 1 species
UACGGAGGGGGUUAGCGUUGUUCGGAAUUACUGGGCGUAAAGCGCACGUAGGCGGAUUGACAAGUUGGGGGUGACAUCCCGGGGCUCAACCCCGGAACUGCCUCCAAAACUGUCAGUCUUGAGUUCGAGAGAGGUGAGUGGAAUUCCGAGUGUAGAGGUGAAAUUCGUAGAUAGUCGGAAGAACACCAGUGGCGAAGGCGACAUACUGGCUCAUUACUGACGCUGAGGCGCGAAAGCGUGGGGAGCAAACAGG